CCUACGGGAGGCAGCAGAGGGGGAUAUUGCACAAUGGGGGAAACCCUGAUGCAGCGACGCCGCGUGUGGGAAGACGGUCUUCUGGAUUGUAAACCACUGUCCCCAGGGACGAAAAUGACGGUACCUGGGGAGGAAGCUCCGGCUAACUACGUGCCAGCAGCCGCGGUAAUACGUAGGGGGCAAGCGUUGUCCGGAAUUACUGGGUGUAAAGGGAGCGUAGGCGGGGAUGCAAGUUGGGUGUCAAAACUACCGGCUCAACCGAUAGUCGCACUCAAAACUGCAACUCUUGAGUGAAGUAGAGGCAGGCGGAAUUCCUAGUGUAGCGGUGAAAUGCGUAGAUAUUAGGAGGAACACCAGUGGCGAAGGCGGCCUGCUGGGCUUUUACUGACGCUGAGGCUCGAAAGUGUGGGGAGCAAACAGGAUUAGAUACCCUGGUAGUC
rnacentral:rRNA from 1 species